rnacentral:rRNA from 1 species
AGAGUUUGAUCAUGGCUCAGAUUGAACGCUGGCGGCGUGCCUAACACAUGCAAGUCGAGCGGUAACAGGUGUAGCAAUACAUGCUGACGAGCGGCGAACGGGUGAGUAAUGCAUUGGAAUCUUCCCAGUAGUGGGGAAUAACCAGUCGAAAGAUUGGCUAAUACCGCAUACGUCGGAAACGGGAAAGCGGGGGCUCGUAAGACCUCGCGCUAUUGGAUGAGCCAAUGUCGGAUUAGCUAGUUGGUGAGGUAACGGCUCACCAAGGCGACAAUCCGUAGCUGGUCUGAGAGGACGACCAGCCACACCGGAACUGAGACACGGUCCGGACUCCUACGGGAGGCAGCAGUGGGGAAUAUUGGACAAUGGGGGAAACCCUGAUCCAGCGACGCCGCGUGUGUGAAGAAGGCCUGCGGGUUGUAAAGCACUUUUAGUGGGGACAAAAAGCUACGGACUAAUAUUCUGUGGUCUUGAUUUAACCCAAAGAAAAAGCACCGGCUAACUCUGUGCCAGCAGCCGCGGUAAUACAGAGGGUGCGAGCGUUAAUCGGAAUUACUGGGCGUAAAGCGCGCGUAGACGGUUUUGUAAGUCAGAUGUGAAAUCCCUGGGCUCAACCUGGGAACUGCAUUUGAUACUGCAUGGCUAGAGUAUCGAAGAGGGAAGUGGAAUUUCCGGUGUAGCGGUGAAAUGCGUAGAUAUCGGAAGGAACACCAGUGGCGAAAGCGACUUCCUGGUCGAAUACUGACGUUCAUGUGCGAAAGCGUGGGGAGCAAACAGGAUUAGAUACCCUAGUAGUCC